rnacentral:rRNA from 1 species
CAGUCGCCGCGGUAAUACGUAGGUGGCAAGCGUUGUCCGGAAUUAUUGGGCGUAAAGGGCUCGCAGGCGGUUUCUUAAGUCUGAUGUGAAAGCCCCCGGCUCAACCGGGGAGGGUCAUUGGAAACUGGGAAACUUGAGUGCAGAAGAGGAGAGUGGAAUUCCACGUGUAGCGGUGAAAUGCGUAGAGAUGUGGAGGAACACCAGUGGCGAAGGCGACUCUCAGGCCUGUAACUGACGCUGAGGAGCGAAAGCGUGGGGAGCGAACAGGAUUAGAUACCCCGGUAGUCCCUGUCUCUUAUAC